CAGUUGUCGGAGUUAUGCUGCCCCUGACAUACACACAUUAUCUUCUCACAAACACACUCUCUUCUCACACACUGUCACACACUCUGUUCUCACACACUGUCAGAAACUCUCCCGGCUGCGUUCAUUACAGUCCGUUGCUCUUUCCAAACACAGGGACAGGAGCAGAAUGACUGGGCUUUAACCUGGUGGAGGGGAAAGUUUCCCUCACUGGGGGUAAACAGACUGAGGACACACUGGGACUACUAUACUGGACUACUGUACCAAUACCACCCUCAUGACGAAUGAAGUGACAGGAGAGAGCAGACAGCAGGACAGAGCUUUAUUGGCAUGACGUAACAGUCUCUCUCUCGCUCUCUCUCUCUCUCUGUCUCUCUCUCUCUAUAUAUGCCAUUCCCCUCUGAGGGCAUAGCCAAUUAAAGAGAUCAAUGGAUAAUGUGUGAUCGUUAGACUAGGAUUUGCAAUAGAGAAGUGUGUUUUUCUGUACUACAGUGAGGGAAUCUCCCAAAAGUAGUUCAGUCACGGCCACACAGGCGUGUGUUGUACCAGGUGGUUAGGCUAAACUUAGAGCCCCCUGUCUGUCUCAUGUUACCCCUGUACCUCACUGACAUCCAUUUCACACACACUUACCCCACAGCCAUACAGUUUCCUUAUUUCCUGUGGCUACUUUGAAUAAAC
rnacentral:lncRNA from 1 species